UCGGAUGCUGACGAGUGGCGAACGGGUGAGUAAUACAUCGGAACGUGCCCAGUAAUGGGGGAUAGCUCGGCGGAAGCCGGAUUAAUACCGCAUACGCCCUGAGGGGGAGAGUGGGGGAUCGCAAGACCUCACGUUAUUGGAGCGGCCGAUGGCUGAUUAGCUAGUUGGUAGGGUAAAGGCCUACCAAGGCGACGAUCAGUAGCUGGUCUGAGAGGACGAUCAGCCACACUGGGACUGAGACACGGCCCAGACUCCUACGGGAGGCAGCAGUGGGGAAUUUUGGACAAUGGGGGAAACCCUGAUCCAGCAAUGCCGCGUGUGCGAAGAAGGCCUUCGGGUUGUAAAGCACUUUUGUCAGGGAAGAAAUCCUUUGGGCUAAUACCCUAGGGGGAUGACGGUACCUGAAGAAUAAGCACCGGCUAACUACGUGCCAGCAGCCGCGGUAAUACGUAGGGUGCAAGCGUUAAUCGGAAUUACUGGGCGUAAAGCGUGCGCAGGCGGUUGUGUAAGACAGGUGUGAAAUCCCCGGGCUUAACCUGGGAAUUGCAUUUGUGACUGCACGACUAGAGUGUGUCAGAGGGGGGUGGAAUUCCACGUGUAGCAGUGAAAUGCGUAGAUAUGUGGAGGACACCAAUGGCGAAGGCAGCCCCCUGGGAUAACACUGACGCUCAUGCA
rnacentral:rRNA from 1 species